UAGUAACGGCGAGCGAACAGGGAAGAGCCCAGCACUGAAUCGCGCGACCUCACGGUCGCUGCGAAAUGUAGUGUGUGGGAGAGCCCACUAUUCCGUGAAUUAGCAUUACGUCCAAGUCCUUCUUGAACGGGGCCAUUUACCCACAGAGGGUGCCAGGCCCGUAGUGACUAUUGCUUAUUGCGGAAGGGUUUCUCCUUAGAGUCAGGUUGCUUGAGAGUGCAGCCCCAAGCAGAUGGUAAACUCCAUCUAAGGCUAAAUAUAACCACGAGACCGAUAGCGAACAAGUACCGUGAGGGAAAGUUGAAAAGAACUUUGAAGAGAGAGUUCAAUAGUACGUGAAACCGUUUGAGGGUAAGCCUGAGAAACCCGAAAGGUCGAACGAGGAGAUUCAGUGUGUUUUGUCGGGUACGAGUGCCGAUUGCAAGACAGGGACGGUUCGCCGUUGCUGCUUCCUUCGUUGCGCCGUUGCUUGUCGAACGCAUGCACUUCUCCUCCAGUAGGACGUCACGACCUGUUGGGCGUCGGUCCAAGGGUUACGGUGGAGCUCGUUCAGUCCUGCAACUGCUCGAACCCGUAAUGUCCCGACCGACUACUCGACGGUACAGUAUUGGUGCAAAGCCGCGAUUUAAGCGCGUCUGACCCGAUGCAAGCGUGAAUGGUUAUUUGAUGGUCGGACUCGUGCCGUCCUCAAAGCUGUUCAGCUGUUUGUGUCGGUGCUCUCAGACAGACUUUGAUCACCUGUCUGUGACGCAAUAGCUUUGGGUGGUUUCAGGACCCGUCUUGAAACACGGACCAAGGAGUCUAGCAUGUGUGCGAGUCAUUGGGACUUGAUAAUCCCAAAGGCACAAUGAAAGCGAAGGCAGAGUUUGGCUCAGCCAAGGGAAGAUGGGUGACUUCGGUCGCCCCGCAUUCCCAGGGCGUCUCAUUCACAUUGCGUGAUGAAGCGCACCCAGAGCAUACAUGCUGGGA
rnacentral:rRNA from 1 species